UAGGGAAUCUUCGGCAAUGGACGAAAGUCUGACCGAGCAACGCCGCGUGAGUGAAGAAGGUUUUCGGAUCGUAAAACUCUGUUGUUAGAGAAGAACAAGGACGUUAGUAACUGAACGUCCCCUGACGGUAUCUAACCAGAAAGCAACGGCUAACUACGUGCCAGCAGCCGCGGUAAUACGUAGGUGGCAAGCGUUGUCCGGAUUUAUUGGGCGUAAAGCGAGCGCAGGCGGUUUCUUAAGUCUGAUGUGAAAGCCCCCGGCUCAACCGGGGAGGGUGAUUGGAAACUGGGAGACUUGAGUGGAGAAGAGGAGAGUGGAAUUCCAUGUGUAGCGGUGAAAUGCGUAGAUAUAGGGAGGAACACCAGUGGCGAAGGCGGCUCGCUGGUCUGUAACUGACGCUGAGGCUCGAAAGCGUGGGGAGCAAACAGG
rnacentral:rRNA from 1 species